rnacentral:snRNA from 1 species
AUGCUCGCUUCAGCAGCACAUAUACUAAAAUUGGAAUGAUGCAGAGAAGAUUGGCAUGGCCCCUGCGCAAGGAUGACACGCAAAUUCGUGAGACGUUCCAUGCUUUU